CAUCCUCUCGAUAUAAUUCUAUCCCGGAGUGGAGUUGAGGAGGCUAUAAAAUGUGUGGGAAAACCUCAGAAAUCUUUAGCUGCAUUCUUUUACUGCACUGACAGUGCACGUAUUAUGAUAGUUGAAUGUAGGGUGCUCUCCUAAUAACAGGAUAUGCCGUCUCGAGCUUCCCAGACUUAGCGUGCUGCUGCUGGGCCUUAGAGAAUUUAGUUAAAUAAAAAGUUUCCCCGCCUAUUCCUGUUUCUGCCCUGUCAAUGAAAUUUUAGUCUUUAUAACCUUUCCAAGUAGGCUGGAGUUUAACUUCCCAGCAGUUCAGGAGACUGAUUUUCUCCAUUGUAAAUUCUGUAGAAGUUCUGGAGAAUAAUUUCAUCACUACCACCCAGCAGUAAGCAAUCUAGAAAUUUCAGCUUUCCCUAUACUUAAGAGAUGUGUGUGCAACAUUUUUCUCUGUCCUCUUAGCCCCCCACUUCCUGUUCCCCUCUCCCUGAGUGAUGUUACAGCUCCUAAUCAGAACUCUCCUCUAAGAAAAACUGCAAGACGUCAAGCCACUAAGCCUGUUUACAUUUGCUAAUGGGUAUGCAUGUCUUUUUAUAUUAAUAUUUUUCCUAAGUAUUUUCAGAUUGUUGCUUUCAGAUUUAUUGCUUCCUCUUUAAAAUAUAGCUGCCCUGGAAGCAGCUGUAUUGUAUCUAUUUUUUGUGUUUUCCCACAGAUCUGAAUAAUCCAGGGCUUUUCUCACAGAUGACACUCAGUGUGGACUAAUUGAUAAUGUAUAAUUUUAUAACAGCUAUUUUCUGAGUUUUAAAAAAUUGUUAUUUUAUUUCUGUUAGUCUUUUAGACACUGGAAAACAUUUCUAUUUUAUUAGCAUUUUUCUUUUCAAUAAAGCAUUGGUUUUUUAAAUCAUUUAUUUUUAUUAAACUGCUAAACAUACUAUGUUAGGUUCAGUACAUGAUUAAACCAAAAGAUAAAGGUCUUGCCAAUCUAAUUUUUUUACAUGCUUAUUUACUUUGAUUAGAUUAUAAGCUUUCUGAGGUCAGAGACAUUAAAUCUUGAUAAUUCUAUUUUUUCCUGUUAUAAACAGCAAGUAAAGCACCUUGCAUGUAUAGUACUUUAGUAAUGAUUUUAUAUUAUCUUAUUGCAGCAGUGUCUACUGUUUCCUUUUAUCUUUUAUCCAGAUGAGCAAAUGACAGUUUUGGUCAUAAUGUAGUUACCCCAGAUGUAUUUGUGCUACAGCUUUUAUUUUUUAAAUGCUCUUUUGUUAGAGUAGUAGUUUAUAAGACUUAUUUGGGGAUGGGGGUUAGUUGCUUCAGACUCAGGUGGCUUUCCAACUUGUAAGUACAAUUUUCAGGCUGGAUGAUUAGCAUGCAUCAAGCAUCUCUUCCUAUAAACUCUAAAUAAAGCAGAUUUAUUGCAUAUUCUGUGGCCCUCUGUUUUAGCACAUUGGAAACCUUAGACUCAAAUAGCAGUGAAUGGAUAGUUAUUACUGAGCUCAGAAGUCUUCCCUGCCAAAGGUAGAAUGUAAUGUGUUCUCUGGUAAUAGGAUUAUUUUGUUUGACCAGGUGACACUGUUUAUUUCUUAUGAAAAAUUUUGAUUACAGCUUUAAAAUUUAGUAAGAUGGAUGCAUAAUUUAUACAGUGAAAUUUGAAAGGUUUUUCAAAAUGAUAAGGCCAAACCUAAGCUAAACGAGGGGGUAGGCAUUCUUUAUAAAAAAGCUGUUAUACUCUGCCCAGCUAGGCCAGUUAUUCCUAGAUGCUGCAGAUUAAUGGGGCAAUCUGUGUUAUGUAACAUUUGUUCUAUAUUAUUCUGCCUCUAAUGAGGCGAAUCAAAGACGAUGUCAGUUUUAAUUCUGGAUGCCCUUGCUUCAGUGUAGUAUAAUACAUAGGUACAGCCUUUUUUAGUAGUUUUCAGAUGGCUUCUUUAUGUUUUUAUAUUGAAGAACCACUAACUUCCCAUUGGCCUAUAAGGUUAGCAAUUGAUUAUUUAUAGCAAAUGGCUUGAGAUGUUAGAUCAUCAGUAUUUGUCAAUAAACCUGUAAUAACUUGUUUCCCUAGCCCUUAACUUAGUAUUGAAGAAAAAAAUUGUGGUAUUCAUUGAUAGGACUUAGAAAGCACAGAAAUUAUUAUUUAAGAUUUGUUCUACCAGUUGAUAUUUAAAGUAAAACAUUUUUAGGUACUGAACACCAUUCUGCAAAUGACAGUAUUUUAUCCGGAGUAUAUGGUCCGAAAUCACUUAGGGACAACUUUUUAAAGCAAAUAACUAAUUACAAAAUUCGGUCUUCCAAUUUAUUUCAAAUUACAUACUUUUGUACAAAUAUUCUUAGUUAGAAAUAGUCAUAUAAAUACACUGUUGGACAUGUUCUCAUUGAUCUCCACGCCUCAGUUCCUUCUACAUGAGUCAUGGGCUUGAGGUUACCCAGAAAUGGACUGUGAACCUAUAAACCCCAGCAUGCAUGUGGUAUUGCAUCGAGCAUGUUCUGUGAUUCCCUUCUACUCUUGUUACAGCUUUAUUCGUUGGAUCAAUGUGCAUUAUUUGCUGUGUGUGCUCAGGUAAUAUUUUUGUUUCUUUUUUUUUUUUUUUUAGUUUGAAUAUCAGUUUGGGCUUAGUUACUUUUUAAAAUAAGGCCGUUUCAGAUAGUCUCUGCCACACUUUGCCUGGCCUGGUUAAUUGUGAGUGGACCCAUGCUACAUGUUUUGGCAUUGCCUUUUUCUUAUCUGUACCAUAUUACAAACUUCCUAGUAAUUUGACAUUCACUGCUGUCUUUGCUUUAGCUUUCCAACAGAUUUGGUGAAACAGUCCAUUGCUUUUCAAUAUCAGCUUGCAUCAGAAUUACUCGGAGGGCUUAUUGAUUAAAACACAGAUUGUUGGGCCCUGCAAAAAAAGUUUCUGAUUCAGUAGGUCUGGGGUGGAACAUGAGAAUGUGCUUUUUCCCCCACAGUUCCCAAGGACUGCUGAUGCUGCUCCUCUAGGCCCAUGCUUUCAGAAUCACGGAGCUCAUCUUACAUUCUUUUCUUGCUAGAUAUUAUGCCCAAUUAAUACAUGAAGUAAAACAGAAAAAUCCUUAACUUAAAAACAUGUAUUAAUCCAGAAAUUUGAUUAUAAAAAGGUUUGUUGAAAAUGUGAGACCAUUUUUUCUCCCAGAGAAAAAGUAUAUUAAUUGUCUAGCCGGGAGGGGUCUGUUUGAAUGUGUUUUCAGAGAAAAGCAGAAGAAAAAAUAUGGUUGUAAUAGAAGUAGUUAAAACAGAAAAGCAGUAUGGUUGUAGAGUGGGUUGGCGGGGAGGUGUAUGUGUAUUUAAUCUUGAGAACCGAUACUUCUGGAAAACAGCCCGAAGGGACAAGAGACUAGGUAGAGACUGGCGAGGUUCCUGAAAGUCCUGGGUUGCCUAUGAAAUGCCAAGGAUUUUUAAAGUUUGCCGGCAGUGGUUAUUAUAUGUAGUUUUACUUCCAAAUUUGAAGAUUUCCUCUUCUUUGAUGCAAGUGUAUUGGUAGGACCACUGAUAAUAGUUCGUAGAGAUAUUUGUGGGAAUAUAUUUUUAAUCAGAAAGAAUGCAAAAAGAGGGGGAGACAUUUCUCUGAGACACCUUAAUGACACUGGGAACAGUAGAAGGUGGAAAGAGAUCAGAGUGUGGGCAAGAUGUGCCUGAGAUGAAAUUAUCUGAAUUCUCAAUGUGGGGGAGAAGAUGAGGAGAGGGUUGAGGGGGAGGAGAGAUGACUAAGCUCCUCACAGUGUUUCAUUAACUGUCUUUUACCUAAAGGAGGAAUCUUCUUAAUGAAGAUUGGUUGAUGCAUCAUACUGGUCAUCAACUUUGUUUUUCAGUUCCAUGAAAUCAGCCUGCCUUUUCUUUUUUUGGUGAUGCAUCCACAUUCUGUAUAGGUAAAAAGCAAAACAAACAAGUAUAAAACGAAAAUUAUGUAAGAAGUACACACAUCCUAGCAGCUUGGCAAGUGUCUGUAUGCUCUUGCCUGUGCCUAAAUCCAGAAUUAGAAUUCAUGUUUGGUGCUCCUGUGGAAGAUGUCUAAAUGUUAUGAGAAAUACAUGAUUAAAUAAAAAUGUGAAAGGAAAGCAUGGAGACUUGUUGAAGGUGAGUGCUGUUUUUCUAAUUAUAUAUUUUAUUUGUUUAAUGAAUAAUUUGUUAUUUUCUUUGUCAUUACGAGAGAGCUGUUUUAUUCUGUACUUAGGUGCAAAGCAUACUAUGUUUUAGUGAGCUCCACAUGUUAAUUUGAAACUUGCCAAAUUCUUACAUUAUUUUAUAAUUUAUAGUACUUUGAGAAACAUAUUGCAAUACAUUACAAAGCAUAUAAUAUACAGGUAGUUUUAUGAAGUGUUUUUCUCCCAAAUUAAGCAUAUUUGGGAAUUGCCCAUCAAUUUGUUUUUGAACCUCAGUGCACAAAAUAUAGAAUUUUUCUUUCAUAUGCUAGAUGUGAAAAAUACUCAGCAUAUGCAUGUGGUUUAGGCUACAAAAUAGCCUGUAGGUUAAAUUCCUAAUUCUAGUGUUUAAUUCAUUGCCUUUUCUCUUCUUGUUUAAUGGCCAUAUGUUUAUAUCUUUAUAUUACAUAUGUUCCUGAUUAUAUAAUAGGGUCUUUGAUCAUGUGGGCUAUCAGAUUUGCCUCACUUUGUCUCUUAGAAGAAGCUAUACCUGAAACUAUAGUUGUACUUAAGUGAAAAUUUGAGUAUUUUUCUUGUUUGAAUUGAUGCAGUGAAACAUUCCACUUAUAGUUAGCGUCUCCCACCCUUACAGGAAGGUACGUGCCUUCAUUUUUUAAAACACUGUAUAUUUAUUGGAAUUGUUACAGAAUUUUAGUAAAUAUAUUCUAAUCACGUAUUUUCUGAUUAAUGUGUGCUUAUCAGUUUUAAAUGUUAUGAAAUCUGGAUAUAUGUUAAAAUGUCUCAGUUUUCCCCCCUUGUUUACCAUAUUGCCAUUUGGUAUUAAUAGAUAACAUAACGUAAAAUUGGAUGUCUUUGAUAAUUUUGGGAUAUGUUCUGAAAUUAAACUUGAACUUUUUUCUGUGAAUUUUGAAGAUUUGGUAUCUUAUAAUUAUUUGGUCAGCAUUUGUCAUGAAUUAUUUAGCUUCUCCCGUGUUUAUGAUUUCUUUCUCUUCUCAUCGAUUUCCAAUAGGAAAAUGUUAUGGAAUGUCUCCUGUAGACUUCAGUAAUUGAAAAAUGUCAGUUAAGAUGGAGGAAAUCUGUAAUAUAUAAUAGAGUUUAUCUUUUAGUUAUGUUCAUUUCCACUUUUUUUAAUGAUUUUUUUUUUUUUAGUAAAUGUCAAAGUGUUAGUGCAACAUAUUAUGCAAUAUUAUAAUCAACUAACCUCUUCAUUGAUAAUGACUUCAUGUUGAGAGGUUUUUUAAAUCUAGAAAUAUUCUUGUUUUAAAUUCCAGGUUAAAAUUUAAAGGUAUUUUAAUUUUAAUUCUUCACAAAGCUACUAGUACAUUAUAAAACUGACAAUUUCACAUUUAGAAUUUUUAUAUAUAUAUAAAUUAGGAUUAUUUUUUAAUAUUAGCCUUAACUUUCUUUAACUUUUAUGGAAAAGAACUAGUCCCAAGGGUAUUUUUACUAUUUAAUAUACAUUAUUCCUGUGAUUCAAAAUCUUAGCAGUAGAACCUGUUGAGCUACUUAACUUUCUGUCUUGGGACUAUCCAGGUGCAGUUAUAACUGGUUUCAGAGUUGUGACCUUUUCCUUGCUUGUUUCAAAAUCAUUCCUUAAAAUAUGUUCAGUAUUUUUCUUUUGUCAAAAAAUAUUUAAAAACAGGAUUUGUGGGUUGUUCUGUUUUUUAAAAUUAGUUUGAGAAACUUCCUUUGCCACUUGUUUUCUGUGCAAAUGUUUUAAGAGCUCAAAUUCCCUGGGGGCAGGGAGGACUUUUAUAAGGUUUUUUUGGUUGAAGGGUAUAAAAGGCACUUAAAAGGUAUACAGUUACUUUUAUUUAGAUAUCCCAGUCAUUUUGACAUUAUGAUAAGCUUUCCCCACUUUAUAGGUUAUCUGAAAAUUUGGUGGGGGGUGGGUAUCUUAUUUAUACUUAAUAUAACAAAAUUAUUUUCCUAUGUGUAGUCAAUAGCACAUACAAAAAAUUGUCUCCUGUUUGUAGUCAAUAGCACAGUCAGUAUUCACCAAAAUACUGAGUUAUUUUUCAAGUAAAGGUGUGAGUAUGAAUGAGAAACAGUUUGUGGAUUGGGUAUUGUCAGUACUUCUUUUUCAGAUAACUUUCUAAAUGGUCAUUCAAUCUGUAAUCUUACACUUUUUUAAUGUUAUAAAUUCUUCAAAUCAGUAUCUCUGUAUUAAAUGCAGUGACCAGACUAUGUCUUCAAAACUGAUAUAAUAUCAUGAUUAGAUGUGCAGAAGACUAUGUUACAUGGAUGAUAAAUUAACUUUUAACAUAUAGAAAUUAAUAUCAGAUUAAACUAAAACAUUAAGCAAAGUUAAUAUAUGCUUGCAUACAUAUAUAUUUAUUUAUUAAUGAUAUAUGGAGAAUCUUUGUGCUUCAUAGUCACUAGACCUAAAGUAGAAGCAGUUGUCAAGAAUGUCCGACUGCUAUUCAUCUUCGUGGCCAAAGUAAAUUUCAAAUAUUUUUUUCAUAAUGGUUUUCUUUAGUCUCUUUAUUAACCCAUCAUCGUGACAAGCCUGUCAAGUGACACAUGUGAAAAGCAGAUGUCCUUUCUUAUUCCUGGUGCUUCCUGAGGAGGCAGUUCAAUGCAGGGGAAGGAACAUUAUUAGAGAUAAAGGAAAAAACCAGAAGUGCUUUCUCCUCUCACAUUCCACUCAACACUUCUCUCACCAAAUGUGUGUGGGGAUUUCUCUCCACCAACAACCAGCCGUUCUUUACUGCAGAUUCUCCAGCGGAUACCAGCCAGGUGUCCUCUAAUCCAGUCAAUUUUGACAUUAUCUACUGGGAGAUAGUGUCAGAUCCCGCAAGUGGAGGGCUCAGUCCUACAAGACUACCCCUUACUUCGGAUGUCAGUCACAAACAGUUAGCUGUUUGUGAUUCUGACCAACUGGCUAGAGAUCCCCCUCCUCAAGUGUGAUUAAUUUGCUAGAGCAGCUCACAGAAUUCAGGGAAACACUUCAUUUACAUUUACCUGUUUAUUAUAAAGGAUAUUAUGAUGGAUACAGAUGAACUGCCAGAAAGACAACGAGCAUAGGCAAGAUACUGAGAAGGGUCACAGAGCUUCUGUGCCUUCUCCAGGUGCACCACCCUCUGGGAAUAGUCAUUUCACGUGUUCAGCUAUCUCGAAGCCAUUCAAACCCUGUCCUUCUGAGUUUCUGUGGAGGCUUCAUUAUGUUAGGGUUCAGAAAUCAAUACCCCAAAAUAUGGGGCUUUGACAUGCUGAAUUAAAGAAGCAGCCUCAAGGCCUCUUGACCUUCUCCAGCUCUCCUCACCCAAAUCCUGUCUCUCCCAAAGCACAGGAUGAGGCUGUUCACCAAAGUUCCCUUAUUCACCUAGAAACUGGACCUCAAAGAGGAACACAGUUGCCUGCGAUUCCGUCCCUGUAAUUUCAUUAACCAGAGAAGAUUAAAACUUACAUCACAGAGGAAGAGACUGAAAAUUAAACACCACACCUGGAGCCCAGAUGACCUGUCCCAAUCUAUUAUCUGUUCGCCAGUCCCAUUUAGUUCCCAAAGGGAAUCAUUACAAACCAUUGUCUGAUCUUCAGGCCCACUUAUUUACAGCUCCUCCUUUUUCCCCAAUGAAAAGGAUAUUUAAGUGUCGGCCAUCUAUCGGCUCUUGGAGUUUUCACAUUUUGUAUGACUCCUGUGCACACAUAUGCAUGUAAUAACUUUGUUAUACUUGUUAACUUUUUUUCAUUUUAGGGGUAACCACCAUGAUUAUAUAUGAUGGGGAGGAAAGGGAUUACUCCAUUUCUGCCCCUGCAGUCUGUAGGCAUGAUUGAUUACAUCAUUGGUCGCCAGUGAUUAACUCAAUCUUCAAGCCCUGUCCUGUCCCUGGAGGUUGGAGGGUGGCACUGAAAGCUCCAACCAUCUCAUCAUGCUUUGAUCUUUCCGAUGACCAGACCCCACCCUAAAGCUAUCUACGGGUCCCCAGCAACAUUCAUUUCGUUAUCAUACAAAUGACAUUCUUACAAUUUCAGAGAUUCCAAGGGCUUUAGGAAGUGGAGAUGAAGAGCAAAUAUAUAUUUCACAAUAUCACAAACAUACCCUUGGGAAUUAGACCUCUGAUCUAAUCUAGGCUCCCUCACUUGCCAUUCUUGUGACCUUGAACAAGUUGUUCAUCUUUUCUGGAUAGUUCUCUGUUUAAAAAAAAAAUUAAAAAAAACGGUGGCUAUCAGGUUGUUAGGAGGACUAGAUAAGAGAACUAUGUCAAGGACCCUGCACAGUGCUAGCAACAAAGUUGUUUAGUAAGUACUGUUUCAAUUUGUUUUGCUCCCAAGCUCAUGUGAGCUCCCUCGAGUGUGUACCACCAAAUCAUAUGAUGUGUAUCCCAGUCAAAUCUUAAAGGUCAUCCACCUUGAAUCUUUAAGUUAAUUAAUGUGUGUUUUUAAAACUGCAUUAUAAGAAUGUUAGGGUUUUUGUUCUGAUCCUAUGGAAGUUAAACUUUUUACGCAAGCAUUCAAAUGUUUAGCUUCAAACUGAACAGAUAAAGAGUCUGUAUUAUUUCAUUAUGUAUGAAAAAAUGAUUAAGCCUGCCUCAGGCAGUUCAGACAAAGCAGGUAAAAGAUUAUCAAGGAGUAACAUUAGAAAACACUAAUCAGAGUGCCUAGAAAGCUUUACGCGGUCCAGGUUAUACAGGGAUGUUAGAACAGUAAAACAAACAAAACAUUACAAGGUAUGAAGCGUUCGAGAUAGGUAGAACAGAGCAGGUUAUAUUAGAGAAGUCUCUUCUAAAAUUGUGUUGGCUAGCGUGGGAUUUGAACUUAUGCUUUGUAUGUAUGUCCAUGUGUAACAGGUUGAACAUGCAAGAAGCAGUGUUCAUAAAAGGUGGCAAACUUGUUUUACUUGUUUCUCAGUCUUUUCAGAACAGUGCUUAUAAAACACUGAUAUUUACAGUAAAUAUAUUAAAUAUUAGCUAACCCUAUUAAAUUGUGUGUCCUUGUGCUGCAGUCAUUUAAUGACCUCAUUCUUUGGUAAGUUGGCAUGUGAUUUGAGAUA